rnacentral:rRNA from 1 species
GUCUAUUUGGAGAUAUAAAAAGUUUAACCUGCCCACUGAUUAAUAGAUAUUAAAUGGCCGCGGUAUUUUGACCGUGCAAAGGUAGCAUAAUCGUUAGUUUUUUAAUUGGAAUCUUGUAUGAAUGGUUGGACAAAAGAAAAUCUGUCUCUAUAUUAUUUAUCGAAUUUAACUUUUAAGUGAAAAGGCUUAAAUAAAUUAAAAAGACGAUAAGACCCUAUAAAGCUUAAUAUUAAUAAUAACUUAGUUAAAUUUUCGUCUAUAAAAACUUAGUUAUUAAAUUUAUUUUAUUGGGGCGAUAAAAGUAAAAUUACUAAUAACUGCUUAAUUUUUAAUACACUUAUAGGUGUCUAUGUUUUUAAAUGAUCCUAAUAUAAAGAUUAAAAGUUUAAGUUACUUUAGGGAUAACAGCGUUAUUUUUCUUAAGAGUACUUAUCGAAAGAAAAGUUUGCGACCUCGAUGUUGAAUUAAAAUACCUUUAUAAUUGUAGCAGUUAUACAAGUAGGUCUGUUCGACCUUUAAAAUUUUACAUGAUUUGAGUUCAAACCGGCGUAAG